CGGGAAGCUUGCAUACAACAUUCACCAGUUCACCAAAGUUUGACUACAUCCUUUCCAGACAGGGUUCUGGGCCGCUGCUGUAAUGUCAUGGCGCAAAUGGAGGGAACACAACAUGCGUCGUCCGUGUCCGAUCGGGAAUGCGCUUGAUCAAAGGACAGCAGGUAACAAGGGACGUCAUUUCUGCAUCUAUAUCGUUUGUUAUAUGAGCAGCAUGCUGACAGAAAGUUUUUUGCUUCCCCUAGAUCGAAGAUAUUCUUCCCAAUGCGAGACAGGGAAGCUUGGGGGCGUACUGAUGUCUGGAAAAGAAGCUUCAUAGGCCAGAUGCUCCCUAUGUCGGCCUGGAGGAUCACAGGUCGGCCUCGAAGAUCAGUUUGUCUCAGAAUGGAGCAAGCUGGCGAUUGACUGUGCGGAAGGAGAAGAAGAUUUAUCGUUGAAGAAGAUCUAUUUUUUUGGCAUUUAACAGAAUGUAUUACUUACUGCUG
rnacentral:sRNA from 1 species